rnacentral:misc_RNA from 1 species
UUACCGUAGGUGAACCUGCGGAAGGAUCAUUACAGAGUUCAUGCCCUCACGGGUAGAUCUCCCACCCUUGAAUAUUUAUACCUUAGUUGCUUUGGCAGGCCGUGGAAACACCAUGGGCUCCGGCUUAUGCGUGCCUGCCAGAGGAAACAAACUCUGUUUUUAGUGAUGUCUGAGUACUAUAUAAUAGUUAAAACUUUCAACAACGGAUCUCUUGGUUCUG